CGAACGGGUGAGUAACGCGUGAGGAACCUGCCUCAAAGAGGGGGGAAACAGUUGGAAACGACUGCUAAUACCGCAUAAGCCCACGGCUCGGCAUCGAGCAGAGGGAAAAGGAGCAAUCCGCUUUGAGAUGGCCUCGCGUCCGAUUAGCUAGUUGGUGAGGUAACGGCCCACCAAGGCGACGAUCGGUAGCCGGACUGAGGGGUUGAACGGCCACAUUGGGACUGAGACACGGCCCAG
rnacentral:rRNA from 1 species